UGGGGAAUAUUGCACAAUGGGCGAAAGCCUGAUGCAGCAACGCCGCGUGAGUGAUGAAGGCCUUCGGGUUGUAAAGCUCUGUCUUCUGGGACGAUAAUGACGGUACCAGAGGAGGAAGCCACGGCUAACUACGUGCCAGCAGCCGCGGUAAUACGUAGGUGGCAAGCGUUGUCCGGAUUUACUGGGCGUAAAGGAUGCGUAGGCGGAUACUUAAGUCAGAUGUGAAAAUCCCGGGCUUAACUUGGGAACUGCAUUUGAAACUGGGUAUCUAGAGUGCGGGAGAGGAAAGUGGAAUUCCUAGUGUAGCGGUGAAAUGCGUAGAGAUUAGGAAGAACACCAGUGGCGAAGGCGACUUUCUGAACUGACACUGACGCUGAGGCACGAAAGCGUGGGGAGCAAACA
rnacentral:rRNA from 1 species